GCCAUCAAAAAGGUUCCUAACGUUACAACAUGGCAGACGGCUGGAGCACUGACACCCGGGAUACUGUGAAAUACCUUACAAUUAAGAUCCGUAUUCAGAGAGUCACCUCUACAGCAGCCCUCUCCCAACACCUUCAGCAGCAGGUUUUGGCUCAACCGGAGAGGGAAGGCAUUGAGCUGGACACCCUCAACUCACCGGCUCAAUCAGGUAUUAACACUGUUUUGAAACAGCAAGAUGAAGUUAGAUGCAUCUUAGUUGAGUAGAUGUUAUUUUCGAAGUGGCUAGAUAUGGGCCAGAACAUCGUCAGACAGGAUGAGAUAGAGGAAUCCCUCCCCCAAUGGCCAGUUCUGUACUUCUGGCAGCACUACAGAAAUGAAGGCUAUGGCUACCUGGUCAUUCCUUCCACCCCUGGUAAGGGAAGCAUACAAUAAUGUGUCAUACGUGGAGACCACAGGAACAGUGUCAGAACUGAGACGCUUCUUCAUUGGUGGAUCCCCUGAGCUUGAGGACUACAUUUACAUCAGAGUCCCAGGGGGGUCCACGGGUAUUUGUUGAUGCCAGCACCCUGAAGAAGAGGAGGCAGAGUGUUCUGGACCAGCUGGGAGGCUUCAGUCAGCAAGGGGCUGUCUAUAAUGUCCUGGGUGUGUGCAGCUCACUCACUGCUGAGCGCGUCUCAAUCGCAUGUAUAGUAAAGUGUCCGAGAGGAGUGAGG